rnacentral:rRNA from 1 species
CCUACGGGGGGCAGCAGUAGGGAAUCUUUCACAAUGGGCGAAAGCCUGAUGGAGCAACGCCGCGUGCAGGAUGAAGGCCUUCGGGUUGUAAACUGCUUUUAUAAGCGAGAAAUAUGAUGGUAACUUAUGAAUAAGGAUCGGCUAACUACGUGCCAGCAGCCGCGGUCAUACGUAGGAUCCGAGCAUUAUCCGGAGUGACUGGGUGUAAAGAGUUGCGUAGGUGGCAUAAUAAGUAGCUAGUGAAAUCUGGUGGCUCAACCAUUCAGACUAUUAGCUAAACUGUUAAGCUCGAGACCGUUAGGGGUAACUGGAAUUUCUAGUGUAGGAGUGAAAUCCGUAGAUAUUAGAAGGAACACCAAUAGCGUAGGCAGGUUGCUGGGACGGUUCUGACACUAAGGCACGAAAGCGUAGGGAGCAAAAGGGAUUAGAUACCCCAGUAGUC